rnacentral:rRNA from 1 species
AUUGAACACUGGCGGCAGGCCUAACACAUGCAAGUCGAGCGGGGUUUUCGGACCUAGCGGCGGACGGGUGAGUAAUGCGUAGGAAGCUACCCGAUAGAGGGGGAUACCAGUUGGAAACGACUGUUAAUACCGCAUAAUGUCUACGGACCAAAGUGUGGGACCUUCGGGCCACAUGCUAUCGGACUCGCCUACGUGGGAUUAGCUAGUUGGUGAGGUAAUGGCUCACCAAGGCGACGAUCCCUAGCUGGUUUGAGAGGAUGAUCAGCCACACUGGAACUGAGACACGGUCCAGACUCCUACGGGAGGCAGCAGUGGGGAAUAUUGGACAAUGGGCGCAAGCCUGAUCCAGCCAUGCCGCGUGUGUGAAGAAGGCCUUCGGGUUGUAAAGCACUUUCAGUAGGGAGGAAGCGUUGUGUGUUAAUAGUACACAGCGUUGACGUUACCUACAGAAGAAGCACCGGCUAACUCCGUGCCAGCCGCCGCCGUAAAAC